GAGCGGGUCGUCGGACCCGGUCACGACGGCGGCGUUGCCUGCCGCGUACCGGCCGGGGUGUUCCAGCACCCACCUGCGCA
rnacentral:tRNA from 1 species